GAUGAACGCUGGCGGCGUGCCUAAUACAUGCAAGUCGAACGAACGGACGAGAAGCUUCUUCCUCUGAUGUUUGCGGCGGACGGGUGAGUCACACAUGGAUAACCUAUCUAUACGACUGGUGUAACUUCGGGAAACCGGAUCUUAUACCGUAUGAUAUUUUGUACCGUAUGGUUCAAUAAUGAAAUACAGUUUUGCUGUUACUUGUAGAUGCAUCCGCGUUGUAUUAGCUUGUUGGUAGGGUAACGGCUUACCAAGGCAACGAUUCAUAGCCGACCUGAGAGGGUGAUCGGCCACACUGGAACUGGACCACGGUCCAGACUCCUACGGGAGGCGGAAGUAGGGAAUCUUCCGCAAUGAGCGAAAGCCUGACGGAGCAAGGCGGGGUGAGUGAUGAAGGUCUUCGAUUCGUAAAACUCUGUUAUUAGGGAGGACCAUAUGUAUAAGUAACUGUGCACAUCGUGACGGUACCUUAUCAGAAAGCCACGGCUAACUACGUG
rnacentral:rRNA from 1 species